rnacentral:lncRNA from 1 species
UUGAAGUUGUCUUCCUAUUUUUCAUUUGUAGAAAGAACUCAUCUCAUCUGUAACGUCAUGCCUAGGCUAGGCAUCGGAAGUGUCAGGAAUUCAUAUGCUGCCACGCUUUCCAUUUCGGAGACAAACAGGAUUUCCUGCUCUUUCACCAGUGUUGCAUGGAUCGCUAGAAUUCCGAUGCUGACGUCUGGAAACUGCACUCUGCUUCGCUGGAUUAUCUGAAGUCGAGCCGAGCCGAGCCACUAAUGAGACGAGUCCAGCGAGCUAGGAGUUUUUUGUCCAGUCCUAGUUGGUGUCCUAUUUGGCACUGUUUGAAUCUUUGUUGAUCAUUUUCCUUGUGUUUUAUUAUGAGCAAUAAAACACUAGGAACAGUAACAAAUAUGAUGUAAACAACUCCAAAUAGAGUACCAACUAAUAGCCUAUAUUUUAGAAACUUUU